GAUCAUGGCUCAGGAUGAACGCUAGCCACAGGCUUAACACAUGCAAGUCGAGGGGCAGCAUGGCCUUAGCUUGCUAAGGCCGAUGGCGACCGGCGCACGGGUGAGUAACACGUAUCCAACCUGUCGUCUACUCUUGGACAGCCUUCUGAAAGGAAGAUUAAUACAAGAUGGCAUCAUGAGUCCGCAUGUUCACAUGAUUAAAGGUAUUCCGGUAGACGAUGGGG
rnacentral:rRNA from 1 species